AACUAUAAACAAAGGCCUAAGCUAAGUUUAAGAUCGAAUCGAAGGAACGAAGAGGCAUGUUGGAAACUGAAGUGAGGUCCGUUGUGUCUGGUUUCAUCGGCUUCUUAAACGUUUCGCUCACUGCCUUCCACGCCGUCGACGAAGCAAAGAAACGUUUGCAAAAGAUUGGGUACGAACAAGUGUUAGAGAGAGAAGAUUGGAAAUUAGAAGCUGGGAAAAGAUACUUUUUCACCAGGAAUCAUUCCACCAUUGUUGCUUUUGCUGUUGGUAAAAAGUAAAAAAACCCAGUCAUCUGGAGGUUGGUGUGCAAACUUAUGGAGGUGGCUUGUGGCAUACGUGGUUCGAUCGUGACUUGACUGUUGCAGGAAGGGUGAUGAUUAGAGAGGAGAAAGGUGGUUCUGUUUCAUAUUCACAUCGGCUAGUUAGAAUUGAAGAACCUAUAAUGCGGAUCCGUACCCUGGCUUUCCAAUUAGACAGCAUUGUGGAAACAGUAAUCUAUUUUCCUAUUUGUGGUCAACACACAGAGUCAUCUUUUACCUGUCCUGGCAACAUCAAUUAAGGUAAAUUUUUAUCCAUACUUUAUUGCAUGCUAUUUUUCAGAUUGUAUUUGUGCCAUUUAUCAUUUCCGUAUCCUAAGUUCAUUUAUAUUGUGAACUUGUGUCAACCACUCCAUAACAGUAUAGAACUUUAUUCCAGUGAAAUGGAUAAAGGCUGAUUAGUGUCUGCAUUGGUUUUCUGAUAGUUGCUUCUCUGCUAUAUGCUGCUUCAUGAUUAGAAACUUAUAAUAUAGAAUUCCGUAUGAAUAUAUGUUAUAAAAACCAAAACCAAACGGGGAAUGGCAGUUUUUAAUGAAAUACUGAAAACACGAAACAAAUUGUUCAAUUUGAACAAGUUGGUUCUUCAGCUAGGACAAUUCAUGCUUGCUUUUUUCCAAUUAUAGAAUGUGUUUAAUUGUUAAGAAAGGAAUAAAUUAAGCUUGUUUAAAUGAUACUUAUUUUAAUAACGACUCAAUAGAACAUAAGUUUCUUUAUGUCUGU